AUUGAACGCUGGCGGCAUGCCUUACACAUGCAAGUCGAACGGUAACGGGCCUUCGGGCGCCGACGAGUGGCGAACGGUGAGUAAUGUAUCGGAACGUACCUUUCAGUGGGGGAUAACGUAGCGAAAGUUGCGCUAAUACCGCAUAUUCUGUGCGCAGGAAAGCAGGGGACCUUCGGGCCUUGCGCUGAUUGAGCGGCCGAUAUCAGAUUAGCUAGUUGGUGAGGUAAAGGCUCACCAAGGCGACGAUCUGUAGCGGGUCUGAGAGGAUGAUCCGCCACACUGGAACUGAGACACGGUCCAGACUCCUACGGGAGGCAGCAGUGGGGAAUUUUGGACAGUGGGGGCAACCCUGAUCCAGCCAUGCCGCGCGAGUGAAGAAGGCCUUCGGGUUGUAAAGCUCUUUCGGCCGGGAAGAAAUCGUAUCAGCUAAUACCUGGUGCGGAUGACGGUACCGGCAUAAGAAGCACCGGCUAACUACGUGCCAGCCGCCGCGGUAAUAC
rnacentral:rRNA from 1 species